AGUGAACGCUGGCGGUAGGCCUAACACAUGCAAGUCGAACGGCAGCACAGUAAGAGCUUGCUCUUACGGGUGGCGAGUGGCGGACGGGUGAGGAAUACAUCGGAAUCUACUUUUUCGUGGGGGAUAACGUAGGGAAACUUACGCUAAUACCGCAUACGACCUUCGGGUGAAAGCAGGGGAUCUUCGCACCUUGCGCGAUUGAAUGAGCCGAUGUCGGAUUGGCUAGUUGGCGGGGUAAAGGCCCACCCAGGCGACGAUCCGUAGCUGGUCUGAGAGGAUGAUCAGCCACACUGGAACUGAGACACGGACCAGAGUCCUACGGGAGGCAGCAGUGGGGAAUAUUGGACAAUGGGCGCAAGCCUGAUCCAGCCAUACCGCGUGGGUGAAGAAGGCCUUCGGGUUGUAAAGCCCUUUUGUUGGGAAAGAAAAGCAGCAGGUUAAUACCCCGCUGUUCUGACGGUACCCAAAGAAUAAGCACCGGCUAACUUCGUG
rnacentral:rRNA from 1 species